rnacentral:rRNA from 1 species
UACGGGGGGGUGCAAGCGUUGUUCGGAAUUAUUGGGCGUAAAGCGCGUGUAGGCGGUUUGAUUAGUCUGAUGUGAAAGCCCUGGGCUCAACCCAGGAAGUGCAUUGGAUACUGUCAGACUUGAAUACGGGAGAGGGUAGUGGAAUUCCUAGUGUAGGAGUGAAAUCCGUAGAUAUUAGGAGGAACACCGGUGGCGAAGGCGGCUACCUGGACCGAUAUUGACGCUGAGACGCGAAAGCGUGGGUAGCAAACAGG